rnacentral:tRNA from 1 species
AUUCAUAUAGUUUAGCAAAACAUUUUAUUUUCAUUAAAAAAAAAGAUAAUUAAUUCUUAUGAAUU